CUUUUUGCUAAAACUUUAAAAAUUUUGUUCGGUCUUUUGUAAUUGUGAAAUUUUUUCGCCGUGAACCGUUUAUGUUUUUAAACCUAGGGGUAGAGAAGUAAGAGAUGGUCGGAUAAUAUCCGUAGUUUCAGUUGGUCACACUUGGGGAUCCAGCCGGAAAGUGUAAUGACUUCUGAUAGGACCCGAUGAAAGAAAUGUUUGAGGACGCAACUCCCGCGGCCCUCCCAGGAAUAGUGAGCGGAGUAGGAUGGACGAACGGACGGACGGAUGGAUGGGAGCUAGUGGUAGGUGUUGUUGUGAAGGUAUGAUGGGGAAUUUAUUUAAAGUCUCUUCCCCAUUGUUUUGAAAUGCAGGAUACAAAAAAUAAAUAAAUAAAAUAAGAAAAGAAAAAAGAAAAGAUAAACCCCGACAAAAAGGGUGAAAUUUCAUCUUAUGCGGAGCAGCUAUUCUGAAAGUCUGCCACCACAAAUUUGUGGAGAAUUAAUACAGGCAUUUUAAUCGGCCUCUCUACUUGAGUUAUUCUUAUUUUUUAGAGCAAAGAAAGAUGAAAGAUAAAGCUAUCUUCAGCAGGAUUCGAACUCAGAAUGUAAAGGGAAACAACUAAAUACUACGUGGCAUUUUGUCCAAAACAAAUACUUCUAUAAUACAUCAGUUAAUCAAAAUCCGACAAGUGAUGUAUAUGAAGAAGAAAACGUAACAUUAAUUAUAAGAAAAUAAAAGAAUGGCUGCCAAGAACGCUUCAUUUAGGAGCUUUUCAAUGGAUAAAGAUGAACAUACAUUGUCUGUAUGUUGUAGAAUAUGAGUUAGACACGUGCUAUAGAGUAAAUGUCAAACUCACUGGUAACUGUCAAUGUAAUUCGAUUGCUUAUCUCAAUGAAUUUCGGACAAUUCCACUUAAUCUACCUUUUAAUACAACUGUAAAAGACGUUAUCAUUCGUAAAUAAAUACAUGAGAGAGAGAAGUUUCACUCCACAACCUUUUCUGCCUCGAGGCACCCUUGCCAAGCCUUUCAGAAAUCCAUGGCACCACUAUUAGAAAAACUAAUAUGACAGUUGUUUUUUGAUUCAUCUGUGUAUGAAAACUAUGUCCUUGGAAUUGAUAAUAAAAAAUUUCUUUAUUUCACCAAUGUUGAUAUAAUAAUCAUAAAACGGAUGACAAUACAAAAAUGAAAUAAACAACAAUACAAAAUAUAA